GACGAACGCUGGCGGCGUGCUUAACACAUGCAAGUCGAACGGAAAGGCCCUGCUUUUGUGGGGUGCUCGAGUGGCGAACGGGUGAGUAACACGUGAGUAACCUGCCCUUGACUUUGGGAUAACUUCAGGAAACUGGGGCUAAUACCGGAUAGGAGCUCCUGCUUCAUGGUGGGGGUUGGAAAGUUUCGGCGGUUGGGGAUGGACUCGCGGCUUAUCAGCUUGUUGGUGGGGUAGUGGCUUACCAAGGCUUUGACGGGUAGCCGGUCUGAGAGGGUGACCGGCCAAAUUGGGACUGAGAUACGGCCCAGACUCCUACGGGAGGCAGCAGUGGGGAAUAUUGCACAAUGGGCGGAAGCCUGAUGCAGCAACGCCGCGUGCGGGAUGACGGCCUUCGGGUUGUAAACCGCUUUCGCCUGUGACGAAGCGUGAGUGACGGUAAUGGGUAAAGAAGCACCGGCUAACUACGUG
rnacentral:rRNA from 1 species